rnacentral:misc_RNA from 1 species
GAUGAAGAACGUAGCGAAAUGCGAUAAGUAAUGUGAAUUGCAGAAUUCAGUGAAUCAUCGAAUCUUUGAACGCACAUUGCGCCCUCUGGUAUUCCGGGGGGCAUGCCUGUUCGAGCGUCAUUAUAACCACUCAAGCUCUCGCUUGGUAUUGGAGUUCGCGAUCUCGCGGCUCCUAAAAUCAGUGGCGGUGCCUGUCGGCUCUACGCGUAGUAAUACUCCUCGCGAUUGAGUCCGGUAGGUUUACUUGCCAGCAACCCCCAAUUUUUACAGGUUGACCUCGGAUCAGGUAGGGAUACCCGCUGAACUUAAGCAUAUCAAUAAGCGAGGA